rnacentral:rRNA from 1 species
GACGUAGGGCGCGAGCGUUGUCCGGAUUUAUUGGGCGUAAAGAGCUCGUAGGCGGCUUGUCGCGUCGUCCGUGAAAACUUGGGGCUCAACCCCAAGCUUGCGGUCGAUACGGGCAGGCUCGAGUUCGGUAGGGGAGACUGGAAUUCCUGGUGUAGCGGUGAAAUGCGCAGAUAUCAGGAGGAACACCGGUGGCGAAGGCGGGUCUCUAGUACGGUACUGACGCUGAGACGCGAAAGCUAGGGGAGCAAACAGG